rnacentral:rRNA from 1 species
GGCUCAGGAUGAACGCUAGCGGCAGGCUUAAUACAUGCAAGUCGUGGGGCAGCAUGUCCCGCAGCAAUGCGGGAUGAUGGCGACCGGCAAACGGGUGCGGAACACGUACACAACCUUCCUUCGAGUGGGGAAUAGCCCGGGGAAACCCGGAUUAAUACCCCGUAACAUAAUGAAGUGGCAUCGCUUUAUUAUUAUAGCUCCGGCGCUUGAAGAUGGGUGUGCGACUGAUUAGGCAGUUGGCGGGGUAAUGGCCCACCAAACCUACGAUCAGUAACUGGUGUGAGAGCACGACCAGUCACACGGGCACUGAGACACGGGCCCGACUCCUACGGGAGGCAGCAGUAAGGAAUAUUGGUCAAUGGACGCAAGUCUGAACCAGCCAUGCCGCGUGGAGGAUGAAGGCCCUCUGGGUUGUAAACUUCUUUUAUCUGGGACGAAAAAGGGACUUUCUAGUUCAACUGACGGUACCAGAGGAAUAAGCACCGGCUAACUCCGUGCCAGCAGCCGCGGUAAUACGGAGGGUGCAAGCGUUAUCCGGAUUCACUGGGUUUAAAGGGUGCGUAGGUGGGUUGGUAAGUCAGUGGUGAAAUCUCCAGGCUUAACUUGGAAACUGCCAUUGAUACUAUUAAUCUUGAAUACCGUGGAGGUCAGCGGAAUAUGUCAUGUAGCGGUGAAAUGCUUAGAUAUGACAUAGAACACCAAUUGCGAAGGCAGCUGGCUACACGAAUAUUGACACUGAUGCACGAAAGCGUGGGGAUCAAACAGGAUUAGAUACCCUGGUAGUCCACGCCCUAAACGAUGGAUACUCGACAUACGCGAUAUACUGUGUGUGUCUGAGCGAAAGCAUUAAGUAUCCCACCUGGGAAGUACGAU